rnacentral:rRNA from 1 species
CCUACGGGUGGCAGCAGUGGGGGAUAUUGCACAAUGGGGGAAACCCUGAUGCAGCGACGCCGCGUGUGGGAAGACGGUCCUCUGGAUUGUAAACCACUGUCCCCAGGGACGAAGAUGACGGUACCUGGGGAGGAAGCUCCUGCUAACUACGUGCCAGCAGCCGCGGUAAUACGUAGGGGGCUAGCGUUAACCGGAAUUACUGGGCGUAAAGGGUGCGUAGGUGGUUUCUUAAGUCAGAGGUGAAAGGCUACGGCUCAACCGUAGUAAGCCUUUGAAACUGGGGAACUUGAGUGCAGGAGAGGAGAGUGGAAUUCCUAGUGUAGCGGUGAAAUGCGUAGAUAUUAGGAGGAACACCAGUUGCGAAGGCGGCUCUCUGGACUGUAACUGACACUGAGGCACGAAAGCGUGGGGAGCAAACAGGAUUAGAUACCCGGGUAGUC